rnacentral:lncRNA from 8 species
AGAUUGGAAAUGAUGCAGACAAUUACAAUGAUGGAAGCCACAAUCUAUCUGCAAUACUGAAGCUGAUCUAACCCCCCCACCCACCCACCCAUACUCACAGGGAAACUGUUUUGUUGGGUAAGAAACUGGGUUGUAGAGUGUCCAGUAAUUCCACACCAUCACACACCACUUUCACCCGGAACGUUUGUCUGCCCAACUUCUUGGACCUCUCGGAGGAGCAAUGACAGCUGUCAAUGGAGAGGUUCCGGCAGUUUCCGGUCGUCAGGCAUGUCCUCCACAACCCGACAACAACGCAAAGUUGCCACAUAUAUUCCCAUCCACGUGUGCCGCGCAAGGGGCUUCUCCAUCCACGUCUGCUCCUUCAACCAUGGGACUUGUUGCAAUUAUUCAGCGCAUGGAAGUUGAGAAGUCCCUCCUCCUACAAGGCAAGGGGCUGUAGCAGUGACAGGACUCACAGGAGAAAGGGAAUCCAUAUCCCAGCGCUGUGA